rnacentral:hammerhead_ribozyme from 1 species
AUCCAGCUGAAGAGUCCCGAAUAGGACGAAACGCGCAUCCUGGAU